rnacentral:rRNA from 1 species
UACAGAGGUCUCAAGCGUUUGUUCGGAUUCAUUGGGCGUAAAGGGUGCGUAGGUGGCGCGCUAAGUCAGGUGUGAAAUUUCGGAGCUUAACUCCGAAACUGCAUUCGAUACUGCCGUGCUUGAGGACUGGAGAGGAGACUGGAAUUUACGGUGUAGCGGUGAAAUGCGUAGAUAUCGUAAGGAAGACCAGUGGCGAAGGCGGGUCUCUGGACAGUUCCUGACGCUGAGGCACGAAGGUCAGGGGAGCAAACGGG